rnacentral:tRNA from 1 species
AGGGUAAUAGCUCAACAGUAGAGCACACGCUUAGCAUGCAUGAGGUCCUGGGUUCAAUCCACAGUACCUCCA